rnacentral:rRNA from 1 species
GAUGAACGCUGGCGGCGUGCCUAAUACAUGCAAGUCGAACGAAGAUCUAGCUUGCUAGAUCUUAGUGGCGAACGGGUGAGUAAUACAUAAAUAAUCUGCCCAUAUGACUGGGAUAACUAUUGGAAACGAUAGCUAAUACCGGAUAGGUUGAUCGGAGGCAUCUCUGAUGAAUUAAAGUAGGAUUUCUACACAAAUGGAUGAGUUUAUGGCGCAUUAGUUAGUUGGUGGGGUAACGGCCUACCAAGACGAUGAUGCGUAGCCGACCUGAGAGGGUGACCGGCCACACUGGGACUGAGACACGGCCCAGACUCCUACGGGAGGCAGCAGUAGGGAAUUUUCGGCAAUGGGCUCAAGCCUGACCGAGCAACGCCGCGUGAGUGAUUAAGGCCUUCGGGUUGUAAAGCUCUGUUGUAAGGGAAGAACAUUCAGGAUAGGAAAUGAUCUUGAACUGACGGUACCUUACCAGAAAGCCACGGCUAACUACGUGCCAGCCGCCGCCGUAACAC